GAUGAAGAACGUAGCGAAAUGCGAUACGUAGUGUGAAUUGCAGAAUUCCGUGAACCAUCAAAUCUUUGAACGCAUAUUGCGCUCGAGGCUUCGGCCGAGAGCAUGUCUGCCUCAGCGUCGGUAUUACCCCUCGCUUCUCAACCCCUGGUUGAUGCCUGCCUGCCUUUGCAGUUGGCUAGAAGCGGAUCUGGCUUUCCCAAUUGCCUUUGGUAGUUGGGUCAGCUGAAGCACAGAGGCUUGAGCAAGGACCCUUAUUGGGCUUCAACUGGAUAGGUAGAACUGGUCUUAGGACCAACUACACGAAGUUGUUGCUUGUGGUCUUUGUCUGGAGGACAGCAGGAAACCUUUAUACCUUCGACCUGAGCUCAGGCAAGAUUACCCGCUGAACUUAAGCAUAUCAAUAAGCGGAGGA
rnacentral:misc_RNA from 1 species